CCAUUUCGAAAAUAUUGAUUUUUCAAAAAAAAAAUUGAAUAUUUUUUAAAAACCCCAAUUUUUGAAAAUUUUAGUUUAAAUCCGAAAAGUCGUUUGGGAGAAAUUCAGAAAUCAAGAAAACAGUUCAAUGGAGCCAAACGCCAUUAAUCUAUUAUUUACUGCAAUGAGCAUCAAAAAAAUCAACUGACAAAAUACCAAGUUAGUGAAGAAACCAUACAGCUGCCUCGGUCGAGGGCAUUUUAUCCAAAAAUGAUUUUAUCCAAAAAUGAAAAAAAAAGUUGAUAGUUUCGCCCCAACUAUAUGACCUGAAUGUUAAGCAACACUUACAGAAUUUUAGAAUAAUACAGAAAUAGCAAAAUAUUGCAGUGGAA